UCCGCUGACGACCGGCGCACGGGUGCGUAACGCGUAUGCAACCUACCUUUUACAGGGGUAUAGUCAAGAGAAAUUUUGAAUAACACCCCAUACGAUCAUUUUUACACCUGUAAAGAUGAAGAAAACUCCGGUGGUAAAAGAUGGGCAUGCGUCCUAUUAGUUAGUUGGUGAGGUAACGGCUCACCAAGACCGCGAUAGGUAGGGGUCCUGAGAGGGAGAUCCCCCACACUGGUACUGAGACACGGACCAGACUCCUACGGGAGGCAGCAGUGAGGAAUAUUGGACAAUGGAGGCAACUCUGAUCCAGCCAUGCCGCGUGCAGGAAGACUGCCCUAUGGGUUGUAAACUGCUUUUAUACAGGAAGAAACCUUGGUACGUGUACCAAGCUGACGGUACUGUAAGAAUAAGGAUCGGCUAACUCCGUGCCAGCAGCCGCGGUAAUACGGAGGAUCCAAGCGUUAUCCGGAAUCAUUGGGUUUAAAGGGUCCGCAGGCGGUCUUUUAAGUCAGAGGUGAAAUCCUAUCGCUCAACGAUAGAACUGCCUUUGAUACUGAAAGACUUGAGUUAUUGUGAAGUGGUUAGAAUAUGUAGUGUAGCGGUGAAAUGCAUAGAUAUUACAUAGAAUACCGAUUGCGAAGGCAGAUCACUAACAAUACACUGACGCUGAGGGACGAAAGCGUGGGUAGCGAACAGGAUUAGAUACCCUGGUAGUCCACGCCGUAAACGAUGGAUACUAGCUGUUUGACCAACA
rnacentral:rRNA from 1 species